rnacentral:misc_RNA from 1 species
GGAAGUAAAGUCGUAACAAGGUUUCCGUAGGUGAACCUGCGGAAGGAUCAUUAUUGUAUAACCGAGGUGCGAGGGCUGUCGCUGACCCGAAAGGUCGUGCACGCCCGAGUGCCCUCACACACAUCCAUCUCACCCCUAUGUGCACCACCGCGUGGGUCCCCCUUUGGCUUGUUCGGAGGGGGGCUUACGUUUUCACACAAACUUUGUAUGCAGUGUAGAAUGUAUUUUUUGUUUUUGCGAUCACGCAAUCAAUACAACUUUCGACAACGGAUCUCUUGGCUCUC